AAGCUAACUUUGGCAGCACAUAUACUAAAAUUAGAACAAUACAAAGAUUAGUGUGGUCCCUGUGAAAGAAUGACACACAAAUUUGUGAUGCAAAAAAAAAAUCC
ensembl:snRNA U6 U6 spliceosomal RNA